GACGAACGCUGGCGGCGUGCCUAAUACAUGCAAGUUGAGCGCUGAAGGUUGGUACUUGUACCAACUGGAUGAGCAGCGAACGGGUGAGUAACGCGUGGGGAAUCUGCCUUUGAGCGGGGGACAACAUUUGGAAACGAAUGCUAAUACCGCAUAAAAACUUUAAACACAAGUUUUAAGUUUGAAAGAUGCAAUUGCAUCACUCAAAGAUGAUCCCGCGUUGUAUUAGCUAGUUGGUGAGGUAAAGGCUCACCAAGGCGAUGAUACAUAGCCGACCUGAGAGGGUGAUCGGCCACAGUGGGACUGAGACACGGCCCAAACGCCUACGGGAGGCAGCAGUAGGGAAUCUUCGGCAAUGGACGAAAGUCUGACCGAGCAACGCCGCGGGAGUGAAGAAGGUUUUCGGAUCGUAAAACUCGGUUGGUAGAGAAGAACGUUGGUGAGAGUGGAAAGCUCAUCAAGUGACGGUAACUACCCAGAAAGGGACGGCUAACUACGUG
rnacentral:rRNA from 1 species